rnacentral:rRNA from 1 species
AACGAACGCUGGCGGCAGGCCUAACACAUGCAAGUCGAGCGAGGACUUCGGUUCUAGCGGCGGACGGGUGAGUAACGCGUGGGAAUGUGCCCUUCUCUACGGAAUAGCCCUGGGAAACUGGGAGUAAUACCGUAUACGCCCUAUUGGGGAAAGAUUUAUCGGAGAAGGAUCAGCCCGCGUUGGAUUAGGUAGUUGGUGGGGUAAUGGCCUACCAAGCCGACGAUCCAUAGCUGGUUUGAGAGGAUGAUCAGCCACACUGGGACUGAGACACGGCCCAGACUCCUACGGGAGGCAGCAGUGGGGAAUCUUAGACAAUGGGGGCAACCCUGAUCGAGCCAUGCCGCGUGAGUGAUGAAGGCCUUAGGGUUGUAAAGCUCUUUCAGCUGGGAAGAUAAUGACGGUACCAGUAGAAGAAGCCCCGGCUAACUCCGUG